GACCUCAAGGAGAAUGGAGGAUCUAUCUAAAAUGGCUGAGCAAAAGAAGAGAGAAGUUGCUGAGCUGAUCAAGGAUGUGUCCAAAAACUCCGAGUCUUUCAAGAACCAGUGAUUUGGAAGGAAGGCUCGAG